CCUACGGGGGGCAGCAGUGGGGAAUAUUGGACAAUGGGGGCAACCCUGAUCCAGCCAUGCCGCGUGUGUGAAGAAGGCCCUCGGGUUGUAAAGCACUUUCAGUGAGGAAGAACGCCUGGUGGUUAAUACCCAUCAGGAAAGACAUCACUCACAGAAGAAGCACCGGCUAACUCCGUGCCAGCAGCCGCGGUAAUACGGAGGGUGCGAGCGUUAAUCGGAAUUACUGGGCGUAAAGCGCGCGUAGGUGGCUUGAUAAGCCGGUUGUGAAAGCCCCGGGCUCAACCUGGGAACGGCAUCCGGAACUGUCAAGCUAGAGUGCAGGAGAGGAAGGUAGAAUUCCAGGUGUAGCGGUGAAAUGCGUAGAGAUCGGGAGGAAUACCAGUGGCGAAGGCGGCCUUCUGGACUGACACUGACACUGAGGUGCGAAAGCGUGGGUAGCAAACAGGAUUAGAUACCCCUGUAGUC
rnacentral:rRNA from 1 species